UACGUAGGGUGCGAGCGUUAAUCGGAGUUACUGGGCGUAAAGGGCGCGUAGGCGGUUUAAUAAGAUUGAUGUGAAAUCCCUGGGCUUAACCUAGGAACUGCAUCGAUGACUGUUGAGCUAGAGUAUUGUAGAGGGUAGUGGAAUUUCCGGUGUAGCGGUGAAAUGCGUAGAGAUCGGAAGGAACACCAGUGCGAAGGCGGCUACCUGGACAAAUACUGACGCUGAGGCGCGAAAGCGUGGGAUCAAACAGG
rnacentral:rRNA from 1 species